rnacentral:rRNA from 1 species
GAUGAACGCUGGCGGUAUGCUUAACACAUGCAAGUCGAACGGAAGUCUUUCGGGACUUUAGUGGCGGACGGGUGAGUAACGCGUGAGGAUCUGCCUACAGGACUGGGACAACAGCUGGAAACGGCUGCUAAAACCGGAUGUGCCGAGAGGUGAAAUAUUAAUAGCCUGUAGAUGAGCUCGCGUCUGAUUAGCUAGUUGGUGAGGUAAGGGCUCACCAAGGCGACGAUCAGUAGCUGGUCUGAGAGGACGAUCAGCCACACUGGGACUGAGACACGGCCCAGACUCCUACGGGAGGCAGCAGUGGGGAAUUUUCCGCAA